GGGGAUGUGGCUUUGUGGUAGAGUGCUUGCUUAGCAUGUGUGAGGCCCUAGGUUCCAUCCCUGGCACUGCCA
rnacentral:tRNA from 1 species